rnacentral:rRNA from 1 species
CCUACGGGUGGCAGCAGUGAGGAAUAUUGCGCAAUGGGCGAAAGCCUGACGCAGCGACGCCGCGUGGAGGAUGAAGGUCUUAGGAUUGUAAACUUCUGUUAAGCGGGAAGAAAUAUAUAGAUUUAAUACAUCUAUAAGAUGACGGUACCGCUAAAGAAAGCACCGGCUAACUUCGUGCCAGCAGCCGCGGUAAUACGAAGGGUGCAAGCGUUAUUCGGAAUUAUUGGGCGUAAAGGGUGCGCAGGCGGUGGAUUAAGUCAACUGUUUAAGAUCUCGGCCUAACUGAGAAAAAGCGGUAGAUACUGAUUCGCUAGAGGAUGAAAGAGAGAAGUGGAAUUCUCGGAGUAGCGGUAAAAUGCGUAGAUCUCGAGAGGAACGUCGAUGGCGAAGGCAGCUUCUUGGUUCAUUUCUGACGCUCAUGCACGAAAGCGUGGGGAGCA